CUUGUGAAUACAACGGAAAAACUUAUGAAUUGGGACAAAAGAUAUAUCCUGAUGAAGACAGUUGCUUAACAUGUAUCUGUACUAAAGAAUGGAGCGGAUUAAAUAGUGCUAGUUGUAGGAAAGUAGACUGUCUGUUAGAAGAGGACCUCCCCCGACUUAGAAGAGGAUGUCUUCCAAUCUACUAUCCCAGUAGCUGUUGCCCAAUAGAGUACCACUGUCCAUCAGGAGAAAACACUACACUUGAAAAAGCAGUGGAAUCAGAAAGUAAAAGUAAUCUCUGCUACUUUGAUCGGAAAUAUUAUGCCAGAGGUGAAGUUUUGGAUAUUAAUCAUCCAACUAAUUGUGUCACGUGCUCUUGUGAUACUCCACCUGAUCUCACGUGCAUUCAUCAAGCAUGUCCUCCAAUUCCCAAUAACGAUUACGACAAUUGUGAACCUACUUAU